GAAAAUUGUGAUUGAUUUUUUUUUUUCCAAUUCUGAAUGUUCAUCUAUAACAAAAGCUUUUCUUUUCAGUUCUAAAAGAUUAAUUGGAUCUAUACUUUCAUUGUUCCCUCUUUGCUGUUCUCUCUCAAAGGUUAAAAUGUCUCGUGCCUUGGGUUACAAUCUUACAUAUGAUGUCGAGGGGAGAUACAUUUCAUUGCAACAAGUUUUAGCUUGGCAGCAUAUCUUCAUGAGCAAUAUGUUAUUAUUUGAUUAGUAUUUGAGAGAAUAAAUUGGAACUUAAAUUAUGUAAUGAUAUUGAACUUGGGUAUGUUUUCCCUUAUUAGUAGUUAUUGAUUGAGCAAUUAUUAUGCUUA